rnacentral:rRNA from 1 species
UUCGAUUAAGUUUGAUCCUGGCUCAGGAUGAACGCUAGCGGCAGGCCUAAUACAUGCAAGUCGAGGGAGAAAUUAAAGCUUGCUUUGAUGGAAACCGGCGCACGGGUGCGUAACGCGUAUGCAACCUACCUAUUACUGGGGGAUAGCCCGGGGAAACUCGGAUUAAUACCCCAUAGUACCACCAGAUGGCAUCUGAAGGUGGUUAAAGUUCCGAUGGUAAUAGAUGGGCAUGCGUAAGAUUAGCUAGUUGGUGAGGUAACGGCUCACCAAGGCGACGAUCUUUAGGGGUUCUGAGAGGAUGAUCCCCCACACUGGCACUGAGAUACGGGCCAGACUCCUACGGGAGGCAGCAGUA